AGACCCGAAACCCGGUGAUCUAGCCAUGGGCAGGUUGAAGGUUGGGUAACACUAACUGGAGGACCGAACCGACUAAUGUUGAAAAAUUAGCGGAUGACCUGUGGCUGGGGGUGAAAGGCCAAUCAAACCGGGAGAUAGCUGGUUCUCCCCGAAAGCUAUUUAGGUAGCGCCUCGUGAAUUCAUCUCCGGGGGUAGAGCACUGUUUCGGCUAGGGGGCCAUCCCGGCUUACCAACCCGAUGCAAACUGCGAAUACCGGAGAAUGUUAUCACGGGAGACACACGGCGGGUGCUAACGUCCGUCGUGAAGAGGGAAACAACCCAGACCGCCAGCUAAGGUCCCAAAGUCAUGGUUAAGUGGGAAACGAUGUGGGAAGGCCCAGACAGCCAGGAUGUUGGCUUAGAAGCAGCCAUCAUUUAAAGAAAGCGUAAUAGCUCACUGGUCGAGUCGGCCUGCGCGGAAGAUGUAACGGGGCUAAACCAUGCACCGAAGCUGCGGCAGCGAACGUAUCACUUAAAGCGAUUCAGCGGGUUACGA
rnacentral:rRNA from 2 species